UACGUAGGUGGCAAGCGUUGUCCGGAAUUACUGGGUGUAAAGGGAGCGCAGGCGGGAAGCCAAGUCAGCUGUGAAAACUACGGGCUUAACUUGUAGACUGCAGUUGAAACUGGUUUUCUUGAGUGAAGUAGAGGUUGGCGGAAUUCCGGGUGUAGCGGUGAAAUGCGUAGAUAUUCGGAGGAACACCGGUGGCGAAGGCGGCCAACUGGGCUUUAACUGACGCUGAGGCUCGAAAGUGUGGGGAGCAAACAGG
rnacentral:rRNA from 1 species